GACGAACGCUGGCGGCGUGCUUAACACAUGCAAGUCGAGCGGAAAGGCCCUUCGGGGUACUCGAGCGGCGAACGGGUGAGUAACACGUGAGUAACCUGCCCUGGACUUUGGGAUAACCCUCGGAAACGGGGGCGUAAUACGAUAUGACUUCCCUCCGCAUGGGGGGUGGGGUGGGUAAAGGUUUUUACGGUUCGUUGGGAGUGGGCGUCGCGGCCGUACUC
rnacentral:rRNA from 1 species